GCCCGGGUGGCGAAAUUGGUAGACGCAAGGGACUUAAAAUCCCUCGGUGGCAACACCGUACCGGUUCGACCCCGGUCCCGGGCACCA
rnacentral:tRNA from 1 species